UGGGAGUGCCGCGUUUUUACGAGCUGGUAAAAACACCAGUAGCGUCACAAGACGCUGAGCGUUUUUUCAGCUCUGGGCUCUGAGCGCUUUUUCCCCUGGUCGGCGAGAGGAAAAACGCUGCGCUCGUCACUGUCACUGUUUACUCAGCUGUCCGAUCACAGUAGAGGAGGGGCGGGACAAAUACCACACCGUAGCAACGGUUACUAUCCUGGAACCGGGCUUCGUCCAACCUCAGCUCUUGGACUAAACGGUGGUACUCGCCGAACACAUAUACGGAUAUUUGCCCCCGGGCAGUUCCCCCCUGCUGCAGUCCCCACAGGGGCUGUCCCAACUUACCCAGCAGGAUGACGAUGCACAGCAGGAUGGCAAUCAGAGCCCCCGUGCUGAGACCCGCCGAGGAGAGGAACGCCUCGCCUUGGCACAUCCGGAUCCUGCCAUGGCGUUGGCAUGGGCACACCCGCAGGGUCAAGGUGCUGGUGCCACUCAGCGAUGGCUCCCCACCAUCCCACACCACAAUGGGCAGCUCGUAUAGCUCCUGGGUCAAGUGGUUAAAACGCCGCCGCCUGGCAAUGAUGCUGGCCGUGCUGUCUAUAAUGAAAGAGGUUAAGGAAAAUUAGACCCUUUGGCAAAAAAGACUAA